CACGUCACCCUCCCGCUACCACGCACUCGCGCCAGCCCGACACCGCAGCGGUGCUGAGCCAACUUCUGGAUGUUGUCCUUCGAAAACCUUAAACCUCAGGUUUAUUUUGUUUGUCUUAGUUUUCGUGAACACCAGCACCUCGUCCGUCUCACCCCCUCAAAACAAAGUAACCAGUUUGUAGACGUGCCCUUUGUACACAAAACGACCAUAACUUGUGCAAAACAAAAAUGAGGAAAACAGAGGAAAGAGACCCAAGAACGGAAAACACGUCAGCCCUCACCGAUAAAGUCAGAAAUCCGUUUUGGAACAUUGCCGCUGGAGGUGAUGUCUAGGUCACGGGUUCAUGCCAGGAUGAGUGACUGAGCACGAGAUGUCCCCUUUGGUGAAGCUGCACAGUCUCAGAUAAGUGCAGAGCAACUUCACCGGAACGAUAUGACAGCCCAGAAUUGCAGAGUCCUUUAGCCUGCCGUGAGUUCUCGGGCCUAGUUACAGCCAAGGGGGAAAUCACUUUUGCACCAUUUGGUGCACGCUUUUGUGGCAGCCAAGCAAUUAUUUCCUGAAUACUGUCAAUCUGUAAUACUUAUGCCUAUUGUUAAUGCACCCCAAUGUUGUAAUAAUACAAUUAAAAUGGAAGGCUUGUAAA